GGUGCCAUACUAUGAGGGGUUGGCAGCUGGAUCUGCCUGGAAAUUUGGAUGAGAUGUGAAUGUGACUGGAAUACAUGGUCCUGCUUAUCACGUUGCCGAGAGCAAGUGAACGGCUCAACAUUAAAACUCCAAUAGGUGGGGUGCUGCUUAAUGAAGAUAUGGGAUUUGUUGGCCCAACACCCAAAGAAAAGAGGGAAAACAGUUUAGGUGUUAGUGGGUGGGGGGCAAUUGUCCAUCUUCUUGCAUAGGCUUGAGUGUGUACUAAGAAUUAUCCAUCAAAGUGGAUUUAGUGUAGUAGCAGUUCUCUACUAAGGGUUUCCCAUCACUGUAUGGAUUUGGUGUAGCAGCAGUUUUCACUAGAAAAAAGAAGAAGCUUUGAUACCUAUAGUGUGUCUUGAUAUCAGACUAAAGAAGAUAUAUAAUGGACAACUUGAUGAGGAGUUGUUCUUUAACCCGAGCCAAUAUAAUAAUUGGACGAUUGUCAUAAUGCACCUUGAAUAAGAAGAAAAAUCACAGCUGAGAUUUUAAAAGUCAAUUGAAGAGUUUUCUUAUGCAUGAUUCUCGAUUAACUAUUUGACAAAGCUUCAGUUACAUAUCUGUUGGAAGAUGCAUGAUCACACACUCUGUUCAUCUGACAUUCCUCGUGUCCUAGAGUCUUUCUAGUUUACUUGUGCCAUAAUUGAGUGUACACAUUCUGCUAGGCCUGUGCUCGAGUUGGAGCAGCUGGAUCUGAUCCUAUAUCGAGUAAAGUCUCUGAUUUUAAAGAUGCAUGUUGGAGAUUUUUAAGACCUCAUACAAUAAGAGGAACAGCUCUGGGUUCCUUUUCAUUGGUGGCUAGAGCUCUGAUCGAGAACUCGCACCUGAUAAAGUGGUCUCUUCUGCUUAAAGCAUUCUCUGGUCUUUUUGCUCUAAUAUGUGGGAAUGGAUAUAUUGUCGGCAUCAAUCAGAUAUUUGAUAUCGGCAUUGACAAGUACGUGGUGCUUGCUGGAACAUUGUUUUAUUAAAUUAUAUCUGGCUAGAUGGGCGUUGGUUACGGCGUCACUAUUACUAGCAUGAGAAGAAAUGAAAAACUACCAAGAUAUUGGAACUGAGAAACAGAGCAAAAGUUCUUCCGACUUCAGCAUAGAUGUUUAAAGUGAGAAAGAAUGCAUGUGUUCAUAAUGAAAAAAUGUGACAUCCCAAUUUUUGCUGGACAUCAGAUUUAGGGUCAACAAACCUUAUUUGCCUAUAGCAGCAGGAGAUCUUUCUAUUCAACAUGCCUGGCUUUUGGUGAUAUUUUUUGCAGUGACUGGCCUGUCGAUCGUUGCUUCAAACUUUGGAUCAUUCAUUACUUCUCUUUACAGUCUGGGUCUUUUUCUUGGAGCCAUCUAUUCUGUUCCUCCUUUUAGGAUGAAGAGAUUUCCUGUUGCAGCAUUUCUUAUUAUUGCCACGGUAUAUUUUCUUCCUUAUUUUUCGAAAAAUUGAAUAGUUUAAAGUCGCUUCAUCUUUUUGUGCCUUGCUGAAAGAUUAUGGCUGUACAACCUGAUGAGCUUUGCUUUGGGUAGAAACUUUCUUCGCUACUUUCUUCUUUUAGUAUUUUUUGCGGACUAGCAUCUUUCCUUCAGUUAUAUUUUUCAAUUAUAUGGCA